UUUAUGGAGAGUUUGAUCCUGGCUCAGGACGAACGCUGGCGGCGUGCUUAACACAUGCAAGUCGAGCGAGGACUUCGGUUCUAGCGGCGAACGGGUGAGUAACACGUGGGCAACCUGCCCCAAGCUUCGGAAUAACCUCGGGAAACCGGGGCUAAUGCCGGAUACGACACUACUGGGCAUCUUGUGGUGUGGAAAGAUUUAUCGGCUUGGGAUGGGCCCGCGGCCUAUCAGCUUGUUGGUGGGGUAGUGGCCUACCAAGGCGACGACGGGUAGCCGGCCUGAGAGGGCGACCGGCCACACUGGGACUGAGACACGGCCCAGACUCCUACGGGAGGCAGCAGUGGGGAAUAUUGCGCAAUGGGCGAAAGCCUGACGCAGCGACGCCGCGUGAGGGAUGACGGCCUUCGGGUUGUAAAC
rnacentral:rRNA from 1 species